UAACAGUGUUACUCUCGUCUCUCAGGGCGGAGACACGCAACCCUCACACUUUGCCUUGGAGUACUCUCUGUGCGUCUAUGAAAAACUACCUCGUAAAAUCAACCCGCAAAGCUUUAUAUUCUUAUUUGAAUUUAUUUAUUUAUUAUUAUUAUUGAUUGACGCAAGGGUUAUGUUCCUGGAGAUGUUGUGUUAUUUAAACAUAAUUUCCCCAUAAGAAACAAUGGUAAUAGGGGGGGUUAGGUUCCUGGAGAUGUUGUGUUAUUUAAACAUAAUUUCCCCAUAAGAAACAAUGAUAAUAGGGGGGGUUAGGUUCCUGGACACUGGGAAAGUCUGCCUAUUUUUGGGAAUUUGUUCCUCUCACCUUGAAAAAAACACAUUAUCAAAGAACAGACAAAAAUGGACCCUCUUCACAUACACAGACAAGCACACAGACUUACGCUUAUGUACAAGAUCACAAACACUCACAUUGACCCACAAACAUAGCUACGCAAGGCAAACAGUUAACAUACUCGUAACACACACAUCCAUAAAUACCAAACAUAUCACACUAACACUGACGCACACAAGCACACAUACUUCCCACGCACCGUACACCCCUGGAACAGCCUCCCUCAACAGAUUUUAGACUGCGGUACAAUAGACUCACUCAGAAAACAAAUACACACUCACUUAUCAACACACCAACACUAACACUGACGCACACAAGCACACAUACUUCCCACGCACCGUACACCCCUGGAACAGCCUCCCUCAACAGAUUUUAGACUGCGGUACAAUAGACUCACUCAGAAAACAAAUACGCGCUCACUUGUCACAACAACACACCAACACUAACAAUUAAACUCAAUUCACUUCCCUCCCCUGCACACUUAGAAAUCAACUUCAAUACAAGCAUAUAUAGUACAUCCACACACAAACUGU